rnacentral:rRNA from 1 species
UACGAAGGGGGCUAGCGUUGCUCGGAAUCACUGGGCGUAAAGGGUGCGUAGGCGGGUCUUUAAGUCAGGGGGGAAAUCCUGGAGCUCAACUCCAGAACUGCCUUUGAUACCGAGGAUCUUGAGUUCGGGAGAGGUGAGUGGAACUGCGAGUGUAGAGGUGAAAUUCGUAGAUAUUCGGAAGAACACCAGUGGCGAAGGCGACUCACUGGACAUGUAUUGACGCUGAGGUGCGAAAGCGUGGGGAGCAAACAGG